CGCGAGCGGCCGCUGAGGCGCCGGGACUGCUUCCGCCUCGAGGUUCCGGGGGGCGGAGGGAGCUGCGGCCGCCCGCGGGGGACGCCCUCGGGCCCGGGCGUCGCCGCGUAGGGCGUGCAGUACUUCAUUCUUGUGAAUUCCUAUUUGUGGACACUUUAAGGCCCAGCACCAUUUCCUCUUUGAAGCGCACCGCCCGUCUGUCUCCGUCCCGCUCCAUCACCUCACCUGUUCCCGGCCGCGGUGCUGCAAGCCCUUUUGUAAAACUUGCGUACGCUCUGCGUUUGUCUUCCUCGCUUCCCCGGCAAGCUCCGCAGUGGUGGGCCCACGCUCCACUCGUCUCUGUGUGGCUGGCAGCAAGCCCGGCGCUUGGCACCUGGAGGAUGACAUGAGUGGAUGGACAGAUGUAUGGACCUCAGGGCAGAGGGCAGCCCUUAAAAAGGGGGCAGUUGCAGCAUAAAUCACAGAAGCUUCUCUUGUCCUUUGAGGACUCUGAGGACAAAAGGUGUAGCUACUACCGGACCACGUUUAUUCUCUCCGUGGCACAUACCACACUCCGCAAGUAACCUGUUCGUCUGGUCACUCAUUGUUUCCUCCUCCUCCCACUUCACACUGGAUUUCCUCAGGGCGGGGACGCGGACUGUCCUGCUCGCUGGUGUACCUUUACCACUGGCACCGGCGAAUAUUUGUCCAACCAGAAACAUCCUCCCACAGUGAAAAUCCUCCCGGCCAAAUGCUGAGAGCGUCCUGAAGACCUUACCGUGGUGGAGCUCCAAGCGGGACUGCGGAGUGGCAGAAAUAACACUCGUCUGGGUCAGGAAAUCUGAGCUCUGUGAGUGUGGGCAGGCCCCCUCCCUAAGCCUCAGCUUCUGUAUCUGUGAAAUGAGCCAGGAGUUCCCAUCGUGGCUCAGUGGUUAAUGAAUCCGACUAGGAACCAUGAGGUUGCGUGUUCGAUGCCUGGCCUCGCUCAGUGGGUUAACGAUCUGGCGUUGCCGUGAGCUGUAGUGUAGGUUGCAGACACGGCUCGGAUCCCGCGUUGCUGUGGCUGUGGUGUAGGCCAGCAGCUACAGCUCCUGUUAGACCCCUAGCCUGGGAACCUCCAGAUGCCACGGGUGUGGCCCUAGAAAAAGCAAAAAGACAAAAAAAAAAAUGUAAAAUGAGCCAGCUAAUAGUUCCUUGGAAGUUCCCUGGUGGCACAGCGAGUUAAAGACCCAGCGUGGCCACAGCGGUGGUGCAGGCUGCAAGGCUGGCUCGGGUUCCAUCUCUGGCCCAGACACUUCCACAUGCUGUGGGUACGACCAAAAAAAAAAACAUGGAAAAAAGAAUCCUCGAAUUGAUACAAAGCAUUGCUAUGUGCAAAGUUCUUUUAUCAUCUAUUAUUUCAAUCUAGUCUCAUAGUAGAUAGAACAGACAUUGUCAGUAUUUUUACAAAGGCUCAGAAAGUUUACUGUCUAUAAGAUCUAUUUCAAACAUUCUCUGAGUCUCUAUAAGUCAUCUGUACAAAAAGUCAGUAGUGUGAAUCCUGACUUCUCUUUAUUUUGGCCUUAUUAUUAUCAUUUU
ensembl:lncRNA